CUGGAGUUUAGACGUGUGUGCCUCAGUUCCCUUUGACCACCGAGUCAGCUAUGAAUAAGACAGAAGACAACAACACACUUGUGUUCAUUGUGGAUGUCAAGGCCAACAAGCACCAGAUCAAACAGGCUGUGAAGAAGCUCUGACAUUGACGUGGCUAAGGUCAACACCCUGAUCAGGCCUGAUGGAGAGAAGAAGGCAUAUGUACGACUGGCUCCUGACUAUGAUGCUUUGAAUGUUGCCAACAAAAUUGGAA